UGACGCCAAAGGGGACGCACAGGAAUUGAUAAAGCCUGUCGUCCACCUCGAAGGCAGUGUAAGGGCAGUCCUCCCGGCGGAUGGGGAGCUGAUGAAUUCAGCGUUUCAUGCAGUAGGGAGUUUCCUGAGCCUUUGAGAUGGAUGGCUUGGAGAGGGAGGAGACUGGAAGCAUUCUCUGCAAACUCUGGAGUCUGUUGUGCGUGAAAAUCCCAGGAGAUCAGCAGUUUCCGAGAUACUCAAAUCACCCCAUCUGGCACCAACAAACAUUCCACGAUCAAAACCACUUAGGUCAUAUUUCCUCCUUGUUCUGAUGUUUGGCCUGAACAACAAUGAACCUCUUGACCAUGUCCGCAUGCUUUUAUGCAUUGAGUUGCUGCUACAUGAUUGACUGAUUAGAUAUUUGC